CCUACGGGUGGCAGCAGUGAGGAAUAUUGGUCAAUGGGCGCAAGCCUGAACCAGCCAAGUCGCGUGAGGGAUGACGGUCCUAUGGAUUGUAAACCUCUUUUGUCGGGGAGCAAAGCGCGGUACGAGUACCGUGAAGGAGAGUACCCGAAGAAAAAGCAUCGGCUAACUCCGUGCCAGCAGCCGCGGUAAUACGGAGGAUGCGAGCGUUAUCCGGAUUUAUUGGGUUUAAAGGGUGCGUAGGCGGAUUAGUAAGUCAGCGGUAAAAAUGCGGUGCUCAACGCCGGCACUGCCUCUGAUACUGUCGGGCUAGAGUUUAGUUGCGGUAGGCGGAAUGUAUGGUGUAGCGGUGAAAUGCAUAGAGAUCAUACAGAACACCGAUUGCGAAGGCAGCUUACCAAACUACGACUGACGUUGAGGCACGAAAGCGUGGGGAGCAAACAGGAUUAGAUACCCUUGUAGUC
rnacentral:rRNA from 1 species